rnacentral:rRNA from 1 species
UGGGGAAUUUUGGACAAUGGGCGCAAGCCUGAUCCAGCAAUGCCGCGUGCAGGAUGAAGGCCUUCGGGUUGUAAACCGCUUUUGUACGGAACGAAACGGCUCUGGUUAAUACCUGGGGCUAAUGACGGUACCGUAAGAAUAAGCACCGGCUAACUACGUGCCAGCAGCCGCGGUAAUACGUAGGGUGCGAGCGUUAAUCGGAAUUACUGGGCGUAAAGCGUGCGCAGGCGGUGAUGUAAGACAGAUGUGAAAUCCCCGGGCUCAACCUGGGAACGGCCUUUGUGACUGCAUAGCUAAAGUACGGUAGAGGGGGAUGGAAUUCCGCGUGUAGCAGUGAAAUGCGUAGAUAUGCGGAGGAACACCGAUGGCGAAGGCAAUCCCCUGGACCUGUACUGACGCUCAUGCACGAAAGCGUGGGGAGCAAACA